AGAAUGAACGUUGGCGGCGUGGAUUAGGCAUGCAAGUCGAGCGGGUGUAGCAAUACACCAGCGGCGAAAGGGAGAGUAACGCGUAGUUGACGUACCCCGAGGACCGGAAUAGCUGCGGGAAACUGCAGGUAAUGCCGGAUAAUAUCUCACUUUUAUGAGUUUGAUCAAAGGUGUGAUUCCGCCUUGGGAGCGGACUGCGUUGUACUAGCUAGUUGGUAGGGUAAUGGCCUACCAAGGCUACGAUGCAUACCGGGCGUGAGAGCGUGGCCCGGCUCACUGGGACUGAGACACUGCCCAGACACCUACGGGUGGCUGCAGUCGAGAAUCUUCGGCAAUGAGCGCAAGCUUGACCGAGCGACGCCGCGUGCGGGAUGGAA
rnacentral:rRNA from 1 species